UGGGGAAUUUUGGACAAUGGGCGCAAGCCUGAUCCAGCAAUGCCGCGUGUGUGAAGAAGGCCUUCGGGUUGUAAAACACUUUUGUCCGGAAAGAAAUCCGUCUGGCUAAUACCCGGACGGGAUGACGGUACCGGAUGAAUAAGCACCGGCUAACUCCGUGCCAGCAGCCGCGGUAAUACGGAGGGUGCAAGCGUUAUCCGGAUUCACUGGGUUUAAAGGGUGCGUAGGUGGGCAGAUAAGUCAGUGGUGAAAUCUUCCGGCUUAACCGGGAAACUGCCGUUGAUACUAUUUGUCUUGAAUAUUGCGGAGGUAAGCGGAAUAUGUCAUGUAGCGGUGAAACGCUUAGAUAUGACAUAGAACACCAAUUGCGAAGGCAGCUUACUACACAAUCAUUGACACUGAGGCACGAAAGCGUGGGUAGCGAACA
rnacentral:rRNA from 1 species